GAGUUUGAUCCUGGCUCAGGACGAACGCUGGCGGCAUGCCUAAUACAUGCAAGUCGAACGCACGAAGUUGAAAAGCUUGCUUUUCGACCAAGUGAGUGGCGGACGGGUGAGUAACACGUGGGUAACCUGCCCAUAAGAGGGGGAUAACAUCCGGAAACGGAUGCUAAUACCGCAUAUUUCAAAUGACCGCAUGGUCGCUUGAUGAAAGGUGGCUUCGGCUACCGCUUAUGGAUGGACCCGCGGUGCAUUAGUUAGUUGGUGAGGUAGUGGCUCACCAAGACAAUGAUACAUAGCCGACCUGAGAGGGUGAUCGGCCACACUGGGACUGAGACACGGCCCAGACUCCUACGGGAGGCAGCAGUAGGGAAUCUUCCGCAAUGGACGAAAGUCUGACGGAGCAAUGCCGCGUGAGUGAAGAAGGUUUUCGGAUCGUAAAACUCUGUUGUUAGAGAAGAACAAGGAUGAGAGUAACUGCUCAUCCCCUGACGGUAUCUAACCAGAAAGCCACGGCUAACUACGUGCCAGCAGCCGCGGUAAUACGUAGGUGGCAAGCGUUGUCCGGAUUUAUUGGGCGUAAAGCGAGCGCAGGCGGUUCUUUAAGUCUGAUGUGAAAGCCCCCGGCUCAACCGGGGAGGGUCAUUGGAAACUGGAGAACUUGAGUGCAGAAGAGGAGAGUGGAAUUCCAUGUGUAGCGGUGAAAUGCGUAGAUAUAUGGAGGAACACCAGUGGCGAAGGCGACUCUCUGGUCUGUAACUGACGCUGAGGCUCGAAAGCGUGGGGAGCAAACAGGAUUAGAUAC
rnacentral:rRNA from 1 species